rfam:Bacillus sp. X1(2014), complete genome.
GGUUAAGUUAGAAAGGGCGCACGGUGAAUGCCUUGGCACUAGGAGCCGAUGAAGGACGGGACUAACACCGAUAUGCUUCGGGGAGCUGUAAGUAAGCUUUGAUCCGGAGAUUUCCGAAUGGGGAAACCCACUGCUCGUAAUGGAGCAGUAUCAUUACCUGAAUCCAUAGGGUAAUGAGGGCACACCCGGGGAACUGAAACAUCUAAGUACCCGGAGGAAGAGAAAGCAAAUGCGAUUCCCUGAGUAGCGGCGAGCGAAACGGGAACAGCCCAAACCGAAAGGCUUGCCUUUCGGGGUUGUAGGACACUCAAUAUGGAGUUACAAAGGAACGGGGUAGAUGAAGCGGUCUGGAAAGGCCUGCCGUAGAAGGUAAAAGCCCUGUAGUCGAAACUUCGUUCCCUCCUGAGUGGAUCCUGAGUACGGCCGGACACGUGAAAUCUGGUCGGAAGCAGGGAGGACCAUCUCCCAAGGCUAAAUACUCCCUAGUGACCGAUAGUGAACCAGUACCGUGAGGGAAAGGUGAAAAGCACCCCGGGAGGGGAGUGAAAGAGAACCUGAAACCGUGUGCCUACAAGUAGUCAGAGCCCGUUUAUGGGUGAUGGCGUGCCUUUUGUAGAAUGAACCGGCGAGUUACGAUUACAUGCGAGGUUAAGUUGAAGAGACGGAGCCGUAGCGAAAGCGAGUCUGAAUAGGGCGAAUGAGUAUGUAGUCGUAGACCCGAAACCAGGUGAUCUACCCAUGUCCAGGGUGAAGUCCAGGUAACACUGGAUGGAGGCCCGAACCCACGCACGUUGAAAAGUGCGGGGAUGAGGUGUGGGUAGCGGAGAAAUUCCAAUCGAACUUGGAGAUAGCUGGUUCUCUCCGAAAUAGCUUUAGGGCUAGCCUCACGUAGUAAGAGUCUUGGAGGUAGAGCACUGUUUGGACUAGGGGCCCUCAUCGGGUUACCGAAUUCAGAUAAACUCCGAAUGCCAAUGACUUAUCCGUGGGAGUCAGACUAUGAGUGAUAAGAUCCAUGGUCAAAAGGGAAACAGCCCAGACCACCAGCUAAGGUCCCAAAGUAUACGUUAAGUGGAAAAGGAUGUGGAGUUGCUUAGACAACCAGGAUGUUGGCUUAGAAGCAGCCACCAUUUAAAGAGUGCGUAAUAGCUCACUGGUCGAGUGACUCUGCGCCGAAAAUGUACCGGGGCUAAACGUAUCACCGAAGCUGUGGGUGGACACCUUCUGGUGUCCGCGGUAGGAGAGCGUUCUAAGGGCGUUGAAGCUAGACCGUAAGGACUGGUGGAGCGCUUAGAAGUGAGAAUGCCGGUAUGAGUAGCGAAAGAUGAGUGAGAAUCUCAUCCACCGUAUGCCUAAGGUUUCCUGAGGAAGGCUCGUCCGCUCAGGGUUAGUCGGGACCUAAGCCGAGGCCGAAAGGCGUAGGCGAUGGACAACAGGUUGAUAUUCCUGUACCACCUCUUUAUCGUUUGAGUGAUGGGGGGACGCAGGAGGAUAGGGUAAGCGCGCUGCUGGUUAUGCGCGUGUAAGCAGUUAGGCUGGCAAAUAGGAAAAUCCGUUUGCCAUUAAGGCUGAGCUGUGAUGCCGAGGGAAUUUGAGUACCGAAGUUCCUGAUUCCACACUGCCAAGAAAAGCCUCUAGCGAGAUAAAAGGUGCCCGUACCGCAAACCGACACAGGUAGGCGAGGAGAGAAUCCUAAGGUGAGCGAGAGAACUCUCGUUAAGGAACUCGGCAAAAUGACCCCGUAACUUCGGGAGAAGGGGUGCUCAUUAGGGUGCAUAGCCUUGAUGAGCCGCAGUGAAUAGGCCCAGGCGACUGUUUAGCAAAAACACAGGUCUCUGCGAAGCCGCAAGGCGAAGUAUAGGGGCUGACGCCUGCCCGGUGCUGGAAGGUUAAGAGGAAGGGUUAGCUCACGCGAAGCUCUGAAUCGAAGCCCCAGUAAACGGCGGCCGUAACUAUAACGGUCCUAAGGUAGCGAAAUUCCUUGUCGGGUAAGUUCCGACCCGCACGAAAGGCGUAACGAUCUGGGCACUGUCUCAACGAGAGACUCGGUGAAAUUAUAGUACCUGUGAAGAUGCAGGUUACCCGCGACAGGACGGAAAGACCCCGUGGAGCUUUACUGCAGCCUGAUAUUGAAUUUUGGUACAGCUUGUACAGGAUAGGUAGGAGCCGUGGAAGCCGGAGCGCCAGCUUCGGUGGAGGCGUCGGUGGGAUACUACCCUGGCUGUAUUGAAAUUCUAACCCGCACCCCUUAUCGGGGUGGGAGACAGUGUCAGGUGGGCAGUUUGACUGGGGCGGUCGCCUCCUAAAGAGUAACGGAGGCGCCCAAAGGUUCCCUCAGAAUGGUUGGAAAUCAUUCGCAGAGUGUAAAGGCACAAGGGAGCUUGACUGCGAGACCUACAAGUCGAGCAGGGACGAAAGUCGGGCUUAGUGAUCCGGUGGUUCCGCAUGGAAGGGCCAUCGCUCAACGGAUAAAAGCUACCCCGGGGAUAACAGGCUUAUCUCCCCCAAGAGUCCACAUCGACGGGGAGGUUUGGCACCUCGAUGUCGGCUCAUCGCAUCCUGGGGCUGUAGUCGGUCCCAAGGGUUGGGCUGUUCGCCCAUUAAAGCGGUACGCGAGCUGGGUUCAGAACGUCGUGAGACAGUUCGGUCCCUAUCCGUCGUGGGCGUAGGAAAUUUGAGAGGAGCUGUCCUUAGUACGAGAGGACCGGGAUGGACGCACCGCUGGUGUACCAGUUGUCUUGCCAAAGGCACCGCUGGGUAGCUAUGUGCGGAAGGGAUAAGUGCUGAAAGCAUCUAAGCAUGAAGCCCCCCUCAAGAUGAGAUUUCCCAUAGCCUUAAGCUAGUAAGAUCCCUGAAAGAUGAUCAGGUUGAUAGGUCAGAGGUGGAAGCACGGUGACGUGUGGAGCUGACUGAUACUAAUCGAUCGAGGACUUAACCAA